UACUACUUGGAUAACCGUGGUAAUUCUAGAGCUAAUACAUGCUAAAAAUCCCGACUUCGGAAGGGAUGUAUUUAUUAGAUGAAAAACCAAUGCCCUUUCCGGGCUUUCUGGUGAUUCAUGAUAACUUGUCGAAUCGCAUGGCCUUGCGCCGGCGAUGGUUCAUUCAAAUCUCUUCCCUAUCAACUUUCGAUGCGAAGGUCUUGUCUUCGCAUGGUUGCAACGGGUAACGGAGGGUUAGGGCUCGACCCCGGAGAAGGAGCCUGAGAAACGGCUACUACAUCCAAGGAAGGCAGCAGGCGCGCAAAUUACCCAAUCCCGACACGGGGAGGUAGUAACAACAAAUACUGAUACAGGGCUCUUUUGGGUCUUGUAAUUGGAAUGAGUACAAUUUAAAUCCCUUAACGAGGAACAAUUGGAGGGCAAGUCUGGUGGACAUCCAGUUUCCCGAGAUGAUGCUGGCGCCAGCAAGAGUGGGGGGCGUUUCUGCCGUUUUGGUGGGUGGCCUUCUGACCCGCUAGUCGAGUAUCCGUUUCCAGGGCGGGAGGAUACCGGCGAGACAACCUGGAUCGGGGAAGGCUAAGGGACUCGUCGUCCUAUGCUAAUCCCGAGCAGAGCCGUGGGGGAGUGAUCCCUCUCAUCGUGCCUGUGUAGAGCGCGCUAAGGUGUCGGUCGUCCUGCCUCGGAUUCGGUCAGGGCAGGCGGCUUAAGGUACGUGCCGGCCCCCUCGAAAGAGGGUUUCUUAUCUGGAGCGCCCGCCACGCAAAGGAUUUGAAAACUACCGCGGAAGAAUUAGACGCGGUAGGGGAAGAAAAAGUGGCCAGCAGCCGCGGUAAUUCCAGCUCCAAUAGCGUAUAUUAAAGUUGUUGUGGUUAAAAAGCUCGUAGUUGAACCUUGGGCCUGGCUGGCCGGUCCCCCUCACCGGGUGCACUGAUCCAGCCGGGUCUUUCCCGCUGUGGAACCCCAUGGCCUUCACUGGUCGUGGCGGGGAAACAGGACUUUUACUUUGAAAAAAUUAGAGUGCUCCAGGCAGGCCUAUGCUCGAAUACAUUAGCAUGGAAUAAUGGAAUAGGACGCGCGGUUCUAUUUUGUUGGUUUCUAGGACCGCCGUAAUGAUUAAUAGGGACAGUCGGGGGCAUCAGUAUUCAAUUGUCAGAGGUGAAAUUCUUGGAUCUAUUGAAGACUAACUACUGCGAAAGCAUUUGCCAAGGAUGUUUUCAUUGAUAAGGAACGAAAGUUAGGGGAUCGAAGACGAUCAGAUACCGUCGUAGUCUUAACUAUAAACUAUGCCGACUAGGGAUCGGACGAUGUUAUUUGUUGACUCGUUCGGCACCUUUCGAGAAAUCAAAGUGCU
rnacentral:rRNA from 1 species